ACAGUGGAACUCCAUGUGUAGCGGUGAAAUGCGUAGAUAUAUGGAAGAACACCAGUGGCGAAGGCGGCUGUCUGGUCUGUAACUGACGCUGAGGCUCGAAAGUAUGGGUAGCAAACAGGAUUAGAUACCCUGGUAGUCCAUACCGUAAACGAUGAAUGCUAAGUGUUGGAGGGUUUCCCCCUUCAGUGCUGCAGCUAACGCAUUAAGCAUUCCGCCUGGGGAGUACGGCCGCAAGGCUGAAACUCAAAGGAAUUGACGGGGGCCCGCACAAGCGGUGGAGCAUGUGGUUUAAUUCGAAGCUACGCGAAGAACCUUACCAGGUCUUGACAUGCUAUGCAAAUCUAAGAGAUUAGACGUUCCCUUCGGGGACAUGGAUACAGGUGGUGCAUGGUUGUCGUCAGCUCGUGUCGUGAGAUGUUGGGUUAAGUCCCGCAACGAGCGCAACCCUUAUUAUCAGUUGCCAGCAUUAAGUUGGGCACUCUGGUGAGACUGCCGGUGACAAACCGGAGGAAGGUGGGGAUGACGUCAAAUCAUCAUGCCCCUUAUGACCUGGGCUACACACGUGCUACAAUGGAUGGUACAACGAGUUGCGAACUCGCGAGAGUAAGCUAAUCUCUUAAAGCCAUUCUCAGUUCGGAUUGUAGGCUGCAACUCGCCUACAUGAAGUCGGAAUCGCUAGUAAUCGCGGAUCAGCAUGCCGCGGUGAAUACGUUCCCGGGCCUUGUACACACCGCCCGUCACACCAUGAGAGUUUGUAACACCCAAAGUCGGUGGGGUAACCUUUAGGAACCAGCCGCCUAAGGUGGGACAGAUGAUUAGGGUGAAGUCGUAACAAGGUAACCAAGGGCGAAUCG
rnacentral:rRNA from 1 species